rnacentral:sRNA from 1 species
ACCCUUGAGCCUGGGCAGGCUCUCUUGCCCAGAAUGCAAGAGAAGCACCUGCACCUCAGAGUAAAGCUGCUGGACCACACCUUGGAAAUAUUUGACAUUGAGCCUAAAUGCGAUGGCCAGGUAUUACUGACACAAGUGUGGAAGCGUUUAAACCUGGUAGAAUGUGACUACUUCGGGUUGGAGUUUCAAAAUACUCAGUCCUAUUGGAUUUGGCUUGAACCUAUGAAACCCAUCAUUAGGCAAAUACGAAGGUCUGGCUAUUUGUUGCCCAGGCUGGAGUGUAGUGGUGCGAACACAGUUCUCUGCAGCCUCAACCUCCUGGGUUCAAGCUAUCUUCCCACCUCAGUCUCAAGAUAAUUAUUUUCGUUCAUCUACUUAUUAAAUUUUUUUAAACUAAG